UGAAUGAGAUGCACUUUAAAUGCAAAUUUUUAGUAAGAGUGAAUUAUCUUUGUUUUUUGAGGUUUACAUUGAUCUUCUCAUUUUAUUUUUCAGCGGAACUUCGGAAAGUAUUUGGUAAAAACCUCAGGGAAAAAAUGCUAAGGGUGAACAGAAUAAUGGCAAGUCCCUUUAAUACUUUACACCUUGUAUUUUGUCACAUUUCUUCUGUUUCUAUAUCAUUUGUCUUUGAUGCUCUGUGAUCAUCUUUCUCAACUCCAACCUACACAUAUAACGUUACAUCAUAAUUUUUUCAUUUCUUCAUUGUUAUUUUAGCUAAAAUUUAUCAUAUUCAUAUGUUAUUCAAUGCCCUAUUUUCCUUUGAUUUAUUCUAGCCUUGCUACUCAUAUAGAAAUUUCCUUUUUCUCAAAUAUAUUCUAAUGAUAACUAACUUGUAAAAUUCUGCUAUUUUUAAGUUCUUUGUCCAAGAUGGUUGCACUCAUUUGACUGAGAAGCCCAUAAACUGCCAAUUAAUAGUUCACUUCUUUUCUUUUCAUCUGACUUUGUGAAAGUAAGCGUCAUUGAGGUAAAGUUAAUUAAACUUCCAUAAAAUACGAAUACACAUUAAUUAACCAAGAAAAUGAUGUGAAUAGAGGCACCCCUCAGCCUGACCUGAACUGACUUGAAUGUCCUAUAAAAGCAGUAGUUCAGGAUUCUGUAAUUCAGUGUCUGGUGAGUUAAUAUACCAACGCUACCACUCUAGGAACAAAGA
rnacentral:lncRNA from 1 species